rnacentral:lncRNA from 1 species
AUUACAGAGGUGGAAGCGUGUUUAUUAUUGCUACAUCAGGCUGAAGGUCCAGGCUUCCGCAUAAUCUCUACUGAUAGAUACUAUGGAAUGAUGGGGCAAGAAAUAGCCUUAUUACCAACAAUCAGAGAUGGAAGUCCCAGAAAUGUAUUUGGCCUUCCCUGCUACCAUCUUGGCAGAGAUGUUACUUAAUUACAGCCUCAUGCAACUAGAAUUCAAAUGAUUCACCUCUCUCAGGAGGGAGACAAGCCCUUGUUUGGAAGCCAUGAGAAAGCUUGAGGACCAUCACUAAACUGUAAUCAAUACAUACAAAGAAGAAUAUAAGAUUGUAAAUAUCUGUAAUCAACAAGGACUCUGUAAGUACCCUGCCUUACUGUUAUGGGAG